AUGGGAGAGGAGUGAAAAACAAUUCCAAUUUGCCAUGAUGUGCGUGCAAGUAGAGGAGGGAGGCAGAAAGCAUGGUUCUGUUAGAGCCAAUGGCAAUUCUUCCACAUGCUAAAGCAGUGCCCACAUGGCACAAAAUCAUGCCCAAAGUAUUUCAUUAUUUCAAUAUAAAUCAGUUGGAGUGCACAUAAUUCAAUAAUCUCAACUGAGUAGGGGACUUAACAGUAAAACAAAAACAUCUUUUGUCACUUUGUUUUUCUCUCCCCAAAGUUUGGAUUGGAUUUCUGCCCAGCUGGGCAUUGGCAUUACAAACAUGUGACUAAUACUCUCUUAUUUACAGUGUUGAGGGGCUCGGAGCUGGCACAACAUGGACACUUAGUAAAGCAGAAAUUUCCAUGGCAGAACGGAUACAAAUACAGGAAAUAAAUCCUUCAAGACUUUCGAGGUCUGAUGAGCAAGCUAAAAACAACUGAUGAUAUAUGUCUGGCAUUGGACUCUGGAAAUGGAAGCAUGUUGCUCAUUACAUUCCAGCAAAUAAUAUGGAUCACUUUGGGUGUGUAAAGAAACCUUCAAUGAAAAAGAAAAGAAUGAAAAUAAAUGCAGCCAUCACCGUCCCCCUGGAUCGCUGCAGCGCCCACCACGGGGCAGUAGCGCCCACUUUGGGAAUCACUUGUUUAUAUUCUUGUUGCUGUAUGUUUGAAUAAAAAACUUUUAAAAACUA